GACGUAGGGCGCGAGCGUUGUCCGGAUUUAUUGGGCGUAAAGAGCUCGUAGGCGGCUCGUUGCGUCGGCUGUGAAAACCCGCAGCUCAACUGUGGGCUUGCAGCUGAUACGGGCGGGCUGGGAUUCGGUAGGGGAGACUGGAAUUCCUGGUGUAGCGGUGAAAUGCGUAGAUAUCGAGAGGAACACCGGUGGCGAAGGCGACAUCCUGGACCGGUAUUGACGCUGAGGCGCGAAAGCCAGGGGAGCAAACGGG
rnacentral:rRNA from 1 species